rnacentral:rRNA from 1 species
CGUGUAGGCGGUCUUUUAAGUCUGAUGUGAAAGCCCCGGGCUCAACCCGGGAAGUGCAUUGGAAACUGGGAGACUUGAAUACGGGAGAGGGUAGUGGAAUUCCUAGUGUAGGAGUGAAAUCCGUAGAUAUUAGGAGGAACACCGGUGGCGAAGGCGGCUACCUGGACCGAUAUUGACGCUGAGACGCGAAAGCGUGGGGAGCAAACAGGAUUAGAUACCCUGGUAGUCCACGCCGUAAACGAUGAGAACUAGGUGUUGCGGGUAUUGACCCCUGCAGUGCCGCAGCUAACGCAUUAAGUUCUCCGCCUGGGAAGUACGGUCGCAAGACUAAA